CUGCAAGAUAAGAACGCGAUAAGAACAGAGGGGACAAGAGCACAAGAUGUCCAAAAAGCAUUCCCAGUUCCAUUUCCACACUUCCCCUCGGAGUGAACCUGGUUUAUUGCAACCAGCAUUUGUUUUUCUCCUCCCUUUCCCAACUGCACCUUUCUCUCACUUUCCCUCCUCGCUCUCGGCUCAAUGUGCUUUCGACACUCUUCCUCCCCCUCUCACUUAGAGACGGACUCUCUCACCUGAAAUUAAACACAAUGCCAGGUGCCACUCCGAAAACCACCAUCUGUUCACCCUUGCCUGACUUCUUUCCCUCUACGAGCAGCGAGAAGAAAAAAAGGAAAAGUAAAAUAGCAAGGAGGAAAUUUAAAAAAACCUUCAGAACCAACUCUUUUCCAGAGAGACGCUAACGAAAAAGCAGCACUGGGUGUUAAUGACUUCCUUCAGCUUUCUCUCAUUCAGCUCCAUCCCUCCUCCCCUGGGCCGUACGAGCCGUGAUGUGUGCCGCCAGGGACCGUCGCUAAACUACCAGCCCCGGGACAGACGCAAAGGCAGGAGGAGGCAAUGAAAGAGACAGCACGUUGAAUACAGCCGUGGAUGCAAAAGGGGAUGCUCAAGGUUUGUGUGAAACUGUUUACAUUAAGGCGCAGUCCUUGUUCUUACUGACCACUUAGGCACCAAAAUCCAAAACAAAUUGCAAUGGUUGUCUGGAAAUGAUCUUUUAGUUCCUCUUGUUCAUCAUGCAUUUCUGCUUUACUUGAUGGUGAGUCAGUGGGGCAGAGGGAACUGCAUGCAUGACUUAAAACUCUGGUAAGAUUGUGUUUUAUCCCCAGAGCUCCCAAGAUACACCACAUUCAUACUUUGUUUCACGUUUGUGAACGGCUAAUCAGUACUUGAACUGUUUGGAAGUGUUUAUAGGCAAUUUAAAUUGAUUACAAUUUGAGAUAUUAGGCAAUCAAAUGGGGCCAACAGAUAACGAAGACAGGUCAGUGGGGAUGGCUUGAUGUUUUCUUUUUCUUUUUUUGAGGGAUCUAUCUAAUUCUUCGUUUUUUAUAUGGACGGUUAAAAAGCAGAUGGUCCCUGACAUGAAGCGAUGCAAAUCCGCCUUUUGUUCUCGUCGUGGAGCUCGCCGUGGUUCUGAAAUGGGUCCACUCCACUCAUGACACAAUAUCACGGCUUUACACUAUUCACUCUCUGAAUAAAAAAAAACAUUAUUUCAUUGAGGGUGCUCGUGAAUGUACGGACCAGAAUCACACACACGCCCUCUGUGAAAUCUCGACAGCAUGUAAACAAUGAGCCCACAUGACACGCAGGCGGCUGCACACACCCGAUCCUCGCACACGGCGACACCUCAAAGGAGUCACGAGCUGCUCGUGCUCGGCUCCAGCAACGUUGCAGCGUUCAUUAAAAAAAAAAAAAUCCUGAAUGUAUUUAUUUCCAGCAGCAUGACGCGUCCUCGGCUUGUCUCUCAUUCUGAGACUGCCAUCUGCCAGGAUCACUAAAUCCUAUCUGCCUCCCGCCCUCCGACCGCGAUAUAAGCCUGCAGCAAUCCAUCGGACUUUAACCCCACAUUUAAAUCAAUGAUCGACGAAACUGCGAGUCUAAAACAUAUGUGCGUCUCUUUCACAAUAGUUGUCGUUUUUUUUUAGUUUUUUUUACAGAGUUCAUGUGACCAACAACGGCAUCUGGUGACGAGCUGCAACACAGUUGAUGCCAGCGGUCGUGUUUGUUGCUUUAUGGAUGUAUGUGACGAUGCCAAAGAUAUCUGGGAACUUCAGAGUUGUUGUGAUUCAAACCGUUGAAUCUUCAUUAGUGAGAAGAAUUUUACUGUUGCUGCUUAUAUGAACUACUCCUUCUGUGGCUUUCAUUAAACCAAAUCAUCUGUUAAAAGAGACACACUGGAACAAAUCUCAUCUCUUUUUCUGUAUUGCCAUUAAAAAAAGAGUGGAAUGUUUGACUGGACACUUUUCUUCCACCACGAGAAAACCAUGUUGGAAAUUCUUUCUAUAAGUAACAGAUGUUCAAUAAAUGUAAAGUAAAAUAAA